UAUCCACUUCAUCGGUUUCGGUCGGUCACUCUGAAACCCUCUUGCUCUAGGCAAACUCUGAAUACCAGAUAUGACCCAAAAAUAACAGGGGUCAAGGUUGGCCAGUGAGACGAUGGGGGAUAAGCUUCAUCGUCGAGAGGGAAACAGCCCGGAUCACCAACUAAGGCCCCUAAAUGACCGCUCAGUGAUAAAGGAAGUGGGGGUGCAAAGACCUCAAGGAGGUUUGCCUAGAAGCAGCCACCCUUUAAAGAGUGCGUAAUAGCUCACUGGUCCCUAAUCGAGCGCCCUUGCGCUGAAGAUGAAUGGGGCUAAGUGAUCUGCCGAAGCUGUGGGAUGUCAAAAUGCAUCGGUAGGGGAGCGUUCUGCCUUAGAUGGAAGCAACCGCGAAAGCAGGGGUCGACGAAGCGGAAACG
rnacentral:ncRNA from 1 species